UAAUGAGGUAUUUAUUCAUAUGUACAACCAGCGGUGAGGCUGUUUUUAUGUUAAAGUUAUUCAUUGCUGAAUUACAUCGAUUGUUUCCUCGCUAUGCUGAGAAGGACAUGACGACCCAGCAUUUUUUACAACAUGAUGCAGCAGAGUUUUUAAAUGACAUGCUGACUGUUCUAAAGGAUGGUUUAAAAAUUGACUGUCAAAAAAUACAAGACAAGAACUUUAUUCAUAUGUUCUUUGGAAUUGAAAUAGAAUCAAA